AGCUUUGUGCAGUGGCAGUAUCGUAGCCAAUGAGGUUUAUCCGAGGCGCGAUUAUUACUAAUUGGAAACAGCCUCCUCAUGAUCCUAAGACAAAUUAAUUUUUCAUUGCUUUUUCUGAAG
rnacentral:snRNA from 1 species